UACGUAGGGUGCAAGCGUUGUUCGGAAUUACUGGGCGUAAAGGGAGCGUAGGCGGGAUUGUAAGUUAGGAGUUUAAUCCGUGGGCUUAACCCACGAUCGGCUCUUAAUACUGCAGUUCUUGAAUAUGGGAGAGGAUGAUGGAAUUCCAGGUGUAGCGGUGGAAUGCGUAGAUAUCUGGAAGAACACCAGUAGCGAAGGCGGUCAUCUGGCCCAAUAUUGACGCUGAGGCUCGAAAGCUAGGGGAGCAAAC
rnacentral:rRNA from 1 species